rnacentral:rRNA from 1 species
GACGAACGCUGGCGGCACGCCUAACACAUGCAAGUCGAACGGAGUGAAGAUGCUCGCAUCUGAACUUAGUGGCGGACGGGUGAGUAACACGUGAGCAACCUGCCUUUCAGAGGGGGAUAACGUUUGGAAACGAACGCUAAUACCGCAUAAAAUAUCGGAGUCGCAUGGCACUGAUAUCAAAGGAGCAAUCCGCUGAAAGAUGGGCUCGCGUCCGAUUAGGCAGUUGGCGGGGUAACGGCCCACCAAACCGACAAUCGGUAGCCGGACUGAGAGGUUGAACGGCCACAUUGGGACUGAGACACGGCCCAG